CGGUGGAGCAUGUGGUUAAUUCGACGCAACGCGCAGAACUUACCUGGGCUUGACAUCCCGAUCGCACUUUCUGGAAACAGAGAGGUCAGUUCGGCUGGAUCGGUGACAGGUGCUGCAUGGCUGUCGUCAGCUCGUGUCGUGAGAUGUUGGGUUAAGUCCCGCAACGAGCGCAACCCUCGUCCUUAGUUGCCAGCAUUAAGUUGGGCACUCUAAGGAGACUGCCGGUGUUAAACCGGAGGAAGGCGGGGAUGACGUCAAGUCCUCAUGGCCCUUAUGUCCAGGGCUACACACGUGCUACAAUGGCCGGUACAAAGGGUAGCAAGACCGCGAGGUGGAGCCAAUCCCAAAAAGCCGGUCUCAGUUCGGAUUGGAGUCUGCAACUCGACUCCAUGAAGUUGGAAUCGCUAGUAAUCGUGGAUCAGCAUGCCACGGUGAAUACGUUCCCGGGCCUU
rnacentral:rRNA from 1 species